rnacentral:rRNA from 1 species
GAGUUUGAUCGUGGCUCAGGAUGAACGCUAGCGGCAGGCCUAACACAUGCAAGUCGAGGGGUAGAGUUAGCUUGCUAACUUGAGACCGGCGCACGGGUGCGUAACGCGUAUGCAAUCUACCUUGUACAGGGGGAUAGCCCAGAGAAAUUUGGAUUAAUACCCCAUAGUGUUAUUGGAUGGCAUCAUUUGAUAACUAAAGUUCCAACGGUACAAGAUGAGCAUGCGUCCCAUUAGCUAGUUGGUGUGGUAACGGCAUACCAAGGCAAUGAUGGGUAGGGGUCCUGAGAGGGAGAUCCCCCACACUGGUACUGAGACACGGACCAGACUCCUACGGGAGGCAGCAGUGAGGAAUAUUGGUCAAUGGACGAAAGUCUGAACCAGCCAUGCCGCGUGCAGGAAGACGGCCCUACGGGUUGUAAACUGCUUUUGUCAGGGAAUAAAUCAUUCUACGUGUAGAAUGUUGAAGGUACCUGAAGAAUAAGGAUCGGCUAACUCCGUGCCAGCCGCCGCCGUAAC